GCAGCCGCCGCGGGAAUACGAAGGGGGCUAGCGUUGCUCGGAAUGACUGGGCGUAAAGGGCGCGUAGGCGGCGAUCAAAGUCAGGCGUGAAAUUCCUGGGUUCCACCUGGGGGCUGCGUUUGAUACUUGAUUGCUAGAGUGGGGAAGAGGGUCGUGGAAUUCCCAGUGUAGAGGUGAAAUUCGUAGAUAUUGGGAAGAACACCGGUGGCGAAGGCGGCGACCUGGUCCUUGACUGACGCUGAGGCGCGAAAGCGUGGGGAGCAAACAGGAUUAGAUACCCGUGUAGUCCCUGUCUCUUAUAC
rnacentral:rRNA from 1 species